ACUGGUAGAGGAGCGGUUUUCAAGAGUACCACAUCAUCCAGGCAGGGCGCCGGAUGUGGGAAAGGGAACGCCGCCGAAGGAUUUCUUUCCUGCCCUUUAAGGAAUAAGUCCUGGGCCGGCAUAAAAUAUGUGCCGGACUGUCACGAAUAAAGUGGAGCGCUACCA
rnacentral:ncRNA from 1 species